UACGUAGGCAGCAAACGUUGUUCGGAAUUACUGGGCGUAAAGAGUGUGUAGGCGGCUUUUUUAAGUCAGGGGUGAAAUCCCGGGGCUCAACCCCGGAACUGCCCUUGAAACUGGAGAGCUAGAAUCUUGGAGAGGCGAGUGGAAUUCGAGUGUAGAGGUGAAAUUCGUAGAUAUUCGGAAGAACACCAGUGGCGAAGGCGACUCGCUGGACAAGUAUUGACGCUGAGGUGCGAAAGCGUGGGGAGC
rnacentral:rRNA from 1 species